GAUGAACGCUAGCUACAGGCUUAACACAUGCAAGUCGAGGGGUAACGAGAGGAAAGCUUGCUUUCCUUGUCGACGACCGGCGCACGGGUGAGUAACGCGUAUCCAACCUGCCCCCAACUAGGGAAUAACCUUGCGAAAGUAAGACUAAUACCCUAUAAUUUCCUCAGAUGUCAUCUGACGAGGAAUAAAGAUUUAUCGGUUGUGGAUGGGGAUGCGUCUGAUUAGCUUGUUGGCGGGGUAACGGCCCACCAAGGCAACGAUCAGUAGGGGUUCUGAGAGGAAGGUCCCCCACAUUGGAACGGAUACACGGUCCAAACUCCUACGGGAGGCAGCAGUGAGGAAUAUUGGUCAAUGGGCGGAAGCCUGAACCAGCCAAGUAGCGUGCAGGAUGACGGCCCUAUGGGUUGUAAACUGCUUUUAUACAGGAAUAAAGUUAGCCACGUGUGGUUAUUUGUAGGUACUGUAUGAAUAAGGACCGGCUAAUUCCGUGCCAGCAGCCGCGGUAA
rnacentral:rRNA from 1 species